AAUUGUUCACUGGAUUCAGGAGCAACAAAAAAGAGAAAUCUAUGAAGGAAAUCAGGAAAGAAAUAGAUGAGCUUGACAGCAUCCUGCAAGGAGACCGCCUGAGCCGAAAACUGAAGGUAUAACCCACAUGCGGGAGUUAGAGCAGUACACAGAUGAGUGUGAGGAGGUGUUAGCCUCCAUCAGGAGACAGAGACAGGAGAGUCUACAGGAGCUGGCACAGCUGCACCCUGCGCUGGCCAACAGAAAGCUUUCAUUGUAAUAUU